rnacentral:rRNA from 1 species
UACAGAGGCCCCAAGCGUUACUGAGAAUCACUGGGUUUAAAGGGUGCGUAGGUGGCGCGUUAAGUCCGUUGUGAAAGCCCUGGGCUCAACCCAGGAACUGCUUCGGAUACUGGCGCGCUUGAGGCUAGUAGGGGUCACUGGAACUGACGGUGGAGCGGUGAAAUGCGUAGAUAUCGUCAGGAACGCCAAGGGUGAAGACAGGUGACUGGGCUAGUUCUGACACUGAGGCACGAAAGCGUGGGGAGCGAACGGG